UAAUCAUUGAGCUUUUAUUUUAAGAAUAAAUUACUUAACAGUGUUAUCAAUAUUUGAUUCCUAGCAAAAAGCAUGCAUUUUAAAAACAGACAUUUAAAUAAACUGAAUAUGUUGACUACCCUAAAGCUAAUUGGUGAUGGGCUUCUGACAACAUAUCCAAAAUGCGGAGAACACCCUACCCUGUAUUGUGUAGAUUCAGAUUUCUCUGGCAUGUUCUGAGGGUUGACUUUUGGACCUGCCAGGGGCUAUUUUCAUGAAGAACCAUGGAGCCCAGUGGAGAGAAAAUACGAACCCUUUCGGAGGGCUGACAGCCAGCCUUGCUGACUCUCUGGUAUAUAACAAGGCCUUGGAAGAGAUGUCUUCAUGAUAUUUUAUUCAUUUUAAGAGAAUGUGAACCAAGAGGAGUGAUCAAAAAGAAAGCCAAAUGUCUUCUAUGCCACCAACCACUUCCACUGCACACUAUUGGUUACAAGUGAGUCACUAUAUCUAGCUCACUCUCAAGACCAGGAGAAGGGAACUCUGCUACUUGAAAGAAGUGCUGUCAAGGAAUUCGUGGAAUCAUUAUUCACACCACAUUCUUAAAUGUUUUAUAAUCCCUCCAGAAGCUUCUGCAGCUAGGAUAAAACAUUAAGAUAACUUAACCUUAUCUUACCAAGUCAAGAAUUGUCCAUGUCUUCUAUAACCUGUCAUUCUCUCUUUUUAUCUAAUUACAAUUAUCAGACAGUAAUAUAUACCAAAAUAAAUGGAUGUAUAACCCAAUAAUGGAGUCAAAUCUCUUUAAUUAUCAUAAAAGUUCUAUUUCCACAGAAACUUUAAUUUUUUUAUAUGAAAGUUCUCAGUGAUGAUUUAAAACAAAUCAAUACAUAAGAAAAAUUACAACAAAAUGAAAUAUGUCAGCAAAAUCUCUGACACUAGUCAGUCCUGAUGUCCUUAGUUUGGAUUAAGGCUCCAUUGGCCCUAGAGAAUGCCAACCUUUGACAUCUACUGACAAUUUGACACUCAGGAACUUUGCUGAAUUCAUGUAGGAUUUGGGCCACAAAAACAAUAGCUCCCUCUUUGGUCUGAGGAUUAAAAAUAAGUUUCUUGUGAAUUUCUUUAAACAAACUAGUUCUGAUCAUGGCCUGAUUCUUGUUCUAAGUGACUUUCCUGCAGGACUUAGGAUUUAAAAUCCUAGAAUUACCGGG
rnacentral:lncRNA from 1 species